rnacentral:rRNA from 1 species
GACGAACGCUGGCGGCGUGCUUAACACAUGCAAGUCGAACGGAAAGGCCCUGCUUUUGUGGGGUGCUCGAGUGGCGAACGGGUGAGUAACACGUGAGUAACCUGCCCUUGACUUUGGGAUAACUUCAGGAAACUGGGGCUAAUACCGGAUAGGAGCUCCUGCUGCAUGGUGGGGGUUGGAAAGUUUCGGCGGUUGGGGAUGGACUCGCGGCUUAUCAGCUUGUUGGUGGGGUAGUGGCUUACCAAGGCUUUGACGGGUAGCCGGCCUGAGAGGGUGACCGGCCACAUUGGGACUGAGAUACGGCCCAGACUCCUACGGGAGGCAGCAGUGGGGAAUAUUGCACAAUGGGCGGAAGCCUGAUGCAGCAACGCCGCGUGCGGGAUGACGGCCUUCGGGUUGUAAACCGCUUUGGCAUGUGACGAAGCGUGAGUGACGGUAAUGAGUAAAGAAGCACCGGCUAACUACGUG